UACGAGGGGGGCAAGCGUUGUUCGGAAUUAUUGGGCGUAAAGAGCGUGUAGGCGGUCUGGUAGGUCCGUUGUGAAAACUCGAGGCUCAACCUCGAGACGCCGAUGGAAACCAUCAGACUAGAGUCCGGAAGAGGAGAGUGGAAUUCCUGGUGUAGCGGUGAAAUGCGCAGAUAUCAGGAAGAACACCCGUGGCUAAGGCGGCUUGCCUGGAUCGCAACUGACGCUGAGGGACGAAAGCUAGGGGAGCAAACAGG
rnacentral:rRNA from 1 species